CAUGCAAGUCGAGGGGCAGCGGGGAGGAAGCUUGCUUUCUCCGCCGGCGACCGGCGCACGGGUGAGUAACACGUAUGCAACCUGCCCCUGUCAGGGGGACAACCCGCCGAAAGGCGGGCUAAACCCGCGUACAUGCCACCGGGGCAUCCCGGAGGCAGGAAAGGCUUCGGCCGGACAGGGAUGGGCAUGCGGCGCAUUAGGCAGUAGGCGGGGUAACGGCCCACCUAACCGACGAUGCGUAGGGGUUCUGAGAGAAAGGUCCCCCACACUGGUACUGAGACACGGACCAGACUCCUACGGGAGGCAGCAGUGAGGAAUAUUGGUCAAUGGUCGGGAGACUGAACCAGCCAAGCCGCGUGAGGGAUGAAGGUACAGAGCAUCGUAAACCUCUUUUGUCAGGGAACAAAGGCGGGGACGCGUCCCCGGAUGAGUGUACCUGAAGAAAAAGCAUCGGCUAACUCCGUGCCAGCAGCCGCGGUAAUACGGAGGAUGCGAGCGUUAUCCGGAUUUAUUGGGUUUAAAGGGUGCGCAGGCGGUCUGUUAAGUCAGCGGUCAAAGCCCGGGGCUCAACCCCGGCCCGCCGUUGAAACUGGCAGUCUCGAGUUGGAGAGAAGUAUGCGGAAUGCGCGGUGUAGCGGUGAAAUGCAUAGAUAUCGCGCAGAACUCCGAUUGCGAAGGCAGCAUGCCGGCUCCACACUGACGCUGAGGCACGAAAGCGUGGGUAUCGAACAGGAUUAGAUACCCUGGUAGUCCACGCAGUAAACGAUGAAUGCUGGGUGUCCGGGGGGGACUGACCCCUGGGGGGGGGAAGCGAAAGCGAUAAAGCAUUCCACAUGGGGAGUACGCCGGCAACGGUGAAACUCAAAGGAAUUGACGGGGGCCCGCACAAGCGGAGGAACAUGUGGUUUAAUUCGAUGAUACGCGAGGAACCUUACCCGGGCUCAAACGGGGAGUGACUCAGGCAGAGACGCCUGUUUCCCACGGGACACUCCCCGAGGUGCUGCAUGGUUGUCGUCAGCUCGUGCCGUGAGGUGUCGGCUUAAGUGCCAUAACGAGCGCAACCCCCGCGUGCAGUUGCUAACAGAUAACGCUGAGGACUCUGCACGGACUGCCGGCGCAAGCCG
rnacentral:rRNA from 1 species